GGCGGACGGGUUAGUAACGCGUGGGAACGUACCCUUCUCUACGGAACAGCCUUUGGAAACGAAGAGUAAUACCGUAUACGCCCUUUGGGGGAAAGAUUUAUCGGAGAAGGAUCGGCCCGCGUUAGAUUAGAUAGUUGGUGGGGUAACGGCCUACCAAGUCUACGAUCUAUAGCUGGUUUUAGAGGAUGAUCAGCAACACUGGGACUGAGACACGGCCCAGACUCCUACGGGAGGCAGCAGUGGGGAAUCUUAGACAAUGGGCGCAAGCCUGAUCUAGCCAUGCCGCGUGAGUGAUGAAGGCCUUAGGGUCGUAAAGCUCUUUCGCCUGUGAUGAUAAUGACAGUAGCAGGUAAAGAAACCCCGGCUAACUCCGUGCCAGCAGCCGCGGUAAUACGGAGGGGGUUAGCGUUGUUCGGAAUUACUGGGCGUAAAGCGCAC
rnacentral:rRNA from 1 species